rnacentral:rRNA from 1 species
AUUGAACGCUGGCGGCAGGCCUAACACAUGCAAGUCGAGCGGAGCGGCGGACGGGUGAGUAAUGCCUAGGAAUCUGCCUGGUAGUGGGGGAUAACUCCGGGAAACGGGACCUAUUACCGCAUCCUAUCAGAUCACCUUAGGUCGGAUUAGCUAGUUGGUGGGGUAAAGGCUUACCAAGGCGACGAUCCGUACCUGGUCUGAGAGGAUGAUCAGUCACACUGGAACUGAGACACGGUCCAGACUCCUACGGGAGGCAGCAGUGGGGAAUAUUGGACAAUGGGCGAAAGCCUGAUCCAGCCAUGCCGCGUGUGUGAAGAAGGUCUUCGGAUUGUAAAGCACUGUAAGUUGGGAGGCGUUACCAACAGAAUAAGCACCGGCUAACUUCGUGCCAGCAGCCACGGUAAUUC